rnacentral:rRNA from 1 species
UACGGAGGAUCCAAGCGUUAUCCGAAAUCAUUGGGUUUAAAGGGUCCGUAGGCGGUUUGGUAAGUCAGUGGUGAAAGCCCAUCGCUCAACGGUGGAACGGCCAUUGAUACUGCCAGACUUGAAUUAUUAGGAAGUAACUAGAAUAUGUAGUGUAGCGGUGAAAUGCUUAGAGAUUACAUGGAAUACCAAUUGCGAAGGCAGGUUACUACUAAUGGAUUGACGCUGAUGGACGAAAGCGUGGGUAGCGAACAGG